rnacentral:rRNA from 1 species
GACGAACGCUGGCGGCGUGCCUAAUACAUGCAAGUAGGACGCAGUUGCGAACGGGUGAGUAACGCGUAGGUAACUGCCUAUUAGAGGGGGAUAACUAUUGGAAACGAUAGCUAAUACCGCAUACUAGUAGAUGGACCUGCGUUGUAUUAGCUAGUAGGUAGGGUAAUAGCCUACCUAGGCGACGCCACAUAGCCGACCUGGGAAGGGGAUCGGCCAAAAAGGGACUGGGUCACGGCCCAGACUCCGACGGGAGGGAGCAGUAGGGAAUCUUCUGCAAUGGGGGGACACCUGGCCGAGCAACGCCGCGUGAGUGAAGAAGGUUUUCGGAUCGGAAAGCUCUGUUGUUAAGGGAGCGGUACUUAACCAGAAAGGGACGGCUAACUACGUGCCAGCAGCCGCGGUAAUAC